GGGAUUACAUACAUAGGACACAUACGCUCUGUGUCUGAAACUUCUUUAUCUAAACUCUGGAUCUCCUGGAGUAACGCAGAUUGGAGCUGCCAUUCAGAGGCCUGUGGUAUAUCUACCUCUCAGUGAUUUUAUUACAAUUGAGAAUUAGAUUAAUGGUUAAUAAUUCAAGCAUUUGAAUAAAGUCUUGAUCCAAAGUGGUAGUCAACUGGCGCUCAUAUUUCAUACCCUUUAUAAGCCAGACCUAUUGUCUGCAGGGCUCCAUGGUGUAUCUUGAAACGCGCAGACCCAAAGAGGCAAGUUACCAAGGUUUAAAGAAAAUCUUAUAUAAAGUGAAAGUUUACUCCUUUGUCCAAAUGGACUCUUCGCUAAUGAAUUGCCAAAGGAGCAUAUUUUCCAGAAUGGGUUGGAAUGCGUAUGGUACUAAGCAAAGUAACAUCCUUUUUAGCUAUACAAUGAAGAAAAAGAAAUGUUUAAAGUUGACUCACCACACUUAAACUAUGGAUUUUAAUUUCAGUAAUCCAAUAGGCUGGAUUACAAUAAUCUAAAAGGCCUUUUUUUGGAAAAAAUAUAUGGUUAAAAUCAGAUCAACUACUAGCAAUAUUUAAAUAAAUCCACUGAGCAGUCGGUUGCA
rnacentral:lncRNA from 1 species